AAUCAAUAACACUUUAUUAAAAAUAAAAAUACAUCAAAAUCAUUAACGAAACAUCAAUCAAAAAAAUUGAUUUUAACAAAGUUCGAACUGGAUCUAAUCCAUAUCAAAAAAAUAACAUAAAAUUUGACUGAAUCUAUCAAGGAUGGCUCUGAUACCACCGUUGGGUUCUAAUGAUGCAGUAGAAUAUAGAUUUCAAAAUUUUUUAACAUACAUACAAUAAUGAAAACAAGAUUUAAUAUUUAAACACAACCACUGAAACUCAAAAAUCCAAGGAACCCCUUGAUGAUUACAAUCAAACCAUAAAAUUGAGCAUAUGAGGAGA
rnacentral:lncRNA from 1 species